rnacentral:lncRNA from 1 species
AUAUGGACUGAAGUCACAGAAUGAGUUUCCUGGGAGAGAUGCUUCUUGAUAUGACCCUAGAAGCUCCAUCAAAACUUAUAAAAUCUUGGGAAGAGGAACUGUGGCCCAUCACUGAUCAUUUCAUCUAUUAAGUGACCACUUAUUGUCUUAUAAUAGGAGAUGUUCUGGAAACAUGCAUUGAAUCGAAGUGGCUUUGAGGAAGCAUGAAGAGAAAACAGGAUGGCAUCCUUUUGGCACCAUUUCUUAUGCUAUAAUAAGGAUUCCUUCUGUUUACACAUAAAACAGAAGAGUUUAAUCACCCCAGCAAUCUUUAACUUGGUAAUGAAGGCCAUAAAUUAAAUUUUAAGCAAAGUUAAAGAAGAUGAGAUGAAAUAUAAAACAAAAACAUCAUCAGAAUCUGCCCAGGAACAAUAUUCUUGACACCAAACCAUGACAUUAUGGGGCUCAGUUGUUUGUUUCUAGGGCAGCCCCUUGUUUUAUGUGCCAAAUAGCAUUUCCCUAAAUAAAACUGCAUGGAAC